GGGGCGUUAACUCAGCGGUAGAGUGCCAUCUUCACACGGUGGAAGUCGUAGGUUCGAAUCCUACACGCCCCACCA
rnacentral:tRNA from 1 species